ensembl:lncRNA
GUAAGAAUACAGAUCUCUAGACUCCAGUCACACGUGAUGAAGUCAUUAUUUGUGCCCCUCCCAUCUGGCAGGAGGCUGAGGUCCAUCAGGACUUAGACUUGCCGUCGGCAGUCGGGCUCAUCAACAGAUUCCCGUCCCCCACUGACUGACUCUGUCGUCCCACCGGUCGCUUUCUUUCUCACUGCACACGUCACUUUCUGUUCGCUGGUGCACUUUAUUUUUCAUUUCUAAACAUUUCUUUUAUCCCUUUAUUUUUAAACUAACCCGUAGCAUUAUAUUUGAUCUUAUUCCUCGUGCACUGUUGUCUUGUCCUUCAUUGUCGUACUGUCUGCUGUUACGCAACCGCCAAGUGUCGCCGUGGUGCAGGAAUAGAGGGUGUGCUGGGAACCGCAAGGUUGGUGGUCUGAGUCCCAGCUGCCCCGUGUCCCUGAGCAACACACCUAACAACCUAUUUGCUCCCCGGGCAAAAAUAUAAUACGCCAUGGGUUAAAAAUGUAAUGUAAGUAGCUUUGGAUAAAAGCAAAAAUGUAAAGUCAAAUUCCUUGCAUGUCUGACAUAUUAUGGCAAUAAAUGUUUCCUGAUUCCUGAUUAACAAACAGCAUCAGAUGUCUUUUCACAAACGUACCUGUUUGUUCACAUGAGAACUGACUGCAGGCUUCAAACAGCAGAGUUUUUCCACUCCGAGUGUCUCUCACUUCACAUCUCAGUGACUUAUAAUACUUUGACUUCUGAUGAAGAGGAGCUUUAAACGUCACAUUGGCUUCACAAGCAACGUGUGAUGUCGUCACAUCAGUCUGUUUGCCGUCAUAAUGCCACUUUACUGUGUGUUCACACUCAGAGAAUCUCAACACAAAGCAGGACAACACAACCAGACCCCCGUAGUCCUUUUCCUCCACUGGUGAAGAUGUUCUUGUAAACACGUACAGAGAGACCACACCAUCUGGACCUUGAUGUUUUCCUCCUUCAUCAUAAUGUCUGUUGGUGUAACGACCAACACCUUCACCUGAGACGUUUCUUAUAACCAGAGAACAGUUUGCUGUCAAACUCAGUCUGUUGGUUUUAGCUUCUGGAAUCAAAGCGUUAUUCUUAAUCUUCCCAAGUGUAACCAGCUCCACAGCUGGAUCACUACGACUGUGAAGCCAAGUAGAUCCGUUACAUCUGUCCUGAUUAGAAGGCAAAGUGACGUCAUCUCCGGCUCUGACGAGGAAGCGGGGGACAGGGGGGGUUUGUCCUCUUACUAUUGA